ensembl:lncRNA
UCAGGUCUAAAUACAUAUUUGUCCAAAGUCUUCUUUAUCUUUUCUUUUCCCUCAUCAGCCUCCACUAUUAGAGAACAGCAACCUGGUGUUCAGCUGUUGGCCUCACCAGACUACCCAGUUCUAGCAGGUCAGAGAGUGCACCUGCAGUGCAAAUCUCUCAUCGUUUCAACGGUCGAUGUCGAUUGGUCUUGGCAAUUCCUGAAAGGUCAGACAUGGAAAGAGGUCGACAGUGAUGAGGAACUCGUUCUUACAAAACCAGAACAAAGUGGCGUGUACCGCUGCCAGGCCAAGAGUGGAUCCAACUGGAGCCAAAACCAUACAGUUUCCAUUGUUGCCAUAAAUACAUCAAUGGGGGAGUCUCUAGGAAUUGCUGCCUUUAUCCUCUCUCUUCUGAUAUUAAUUAUCAUCAUUGCUGCUCUCCUGCUGGUGGUUUAUCAAAGAAUGAGAAGCCCCAAAACUCCCUCCAGUCCUGCAGUGAAAGGUAGACAAACAUUACAGGUAAACAUCCAUUAAAAUAAUCUGUGACUGAUCCUUGCUGUGAUCUCUACACUAGUUGAUCCUGGACCCAAAGUUGUACCAAAGUAAGUCUUGAUUUUAAAUUCUUAACAUAAAUUUGGAUUUAUUUGUAAUCACUUUUUGAUUAUUUUUUCUAUUCUUGCUGUUUUGAUCAUCAGAGGAGGGUGUCCUACAGACGAAAGUGAUGGAGACGUGUACAUAAACUACACAGUAGGAAAAAGCAGCGACUACACAGAUCUGGACCCUUCCAGUAUGUCUGCAGAUAAUGUGUAUUCAUCUGUGUGACAACUGCUGAGUUGACCAAAGGAGGAGAUAAAAGUGCAAGAGAAAAAAAACGUAGAUAAGUCUGCAUGUUUUUGUUUCAGUUUGAAUCACUUUUUGUAGAUUUAAUCUACUUUCACAUUUCAUUCGUGGAAUAAAUCAUUCAAACUCCCACCGUUGGGUUGAUGAAUGAACUUCAGAAUGUUCUCAUGACGGCAAUCAACACCCUACCCUUACUGUCUUUUAUGGUCAAACUAAUCCAUACCCACCAAAUGUGAACAGCAAAAAAACACUUACUAAUAUGGUUUAAUAAAAAACUCCAACACCCUUAAACACAAAACAAAAGUAAUAAAAUACAGGAGUGGCUUCUUUACUGCUGUGAAUCAAAUGAUUAACCAUGCAUGAGUCAUAGACGUGGCAACGAAAGGAUGAAAUGUAAUAUAGGAAACCUUUGUUCCCUGAUGUCCCAACUUCCACUCGUACAGUGAAAACAAUGACAAUGGCACAACUAUUUAUUUUAGGUGUAUGUUCUGAGAAACAUCUUUUUAACAUAUGAAUGUGAAAACAGCUCCUUUUAAAUUGCCCUCAUUUUAGGAAGCCUUCUGAGUGAUUUCCGUCCAUCUGCUCUCAAAACUUCUGCUUUGUUUUAAAAAGGAAGUACAGAAAUGGUGCAAUGCACAGCCCAUCUCUACAAAGUUCACUAAACUGUCAUAAGGGAGAGGCUGAAAACACUGUUCCCUCACAGCUAGAAAGUUGCACCACUUUUGGGGGUUUCCACAUUUUCUUAAUUACUGCAUGCAGAGUAGGUCUGUCUCGUGUUACUUGUAGCUGUGUAAAUGGUUGGGCUUUAUGUUGGCAAGAAAAGCUAAAUGCAACCACCUAUUUCAGAAUGUUUUAAAAAGUCACACAGCAUCUUACAAUUACUACAAACAACCUUUUAAGGUGGAAAUCUAAAAGGUUGAGGAAAGUAGUAUCAAAUUAAUACUCAAAACCAAAGUAAUGGUAAAAAAAUGUAAUCACAGAAUGUUUUUUUUUUCUUUUUUACAAAACAUAAAACACAUCAUGUAAAAAGUAGCAUACAAAUCUUCUAAUAGUUCUCAUAAAUUACUCAAUACAGUCAUUCAGUCUUAAUGAGCAUAGAUCUGUUUUCAGUAUUUGGGAUGAAGCACAUUUUAUAUUCCAAAGGUGAGAAAAAAAUUGUAAAAAAUUUUAAAAAUACAUAAAUCCCAUUAAAAUAUAAAUCCAUUUAAAGUUAUUUACAAUAAACCAAAAUAUGAGAAAAGAAAUAAAAGGUAUUAAAAUGGACAAAAAGUAGGGAAAAGGAUGAAGUUUGAAAAAACGAUUUCUAUGUCAGCUUUACGAUUUAGGAAGUACCUGUAGUCAUGAUUACUAUCCCUCCAUCCAUUCAUCCAUCCAUAUGUAGAUCUUUUUAUCUUCAGAAACCGCUGAAUCCCUGUCAGGGUCACAGGGUUCCUGGAGCCUAUCCCAGAUACCGUUGGGUGAAGGCGGGGUACCCCCUGGCUUUACAUGAUGCCAAUCCUUAAGAGGACUUAUGAAAUACUUAUACCUCAAUACUUUUUUGAGACAUCAGUGGUGUAAUAUUAAAUCACAAACAGAAAAAUUAGCUUGGAGCGCCUUCAUAUUGCAAAGCAUUGAUGUUUAGUACCAGAAUAUUUUUAACUGCAAAUACGUAAGAGACAAUAUUGCUUCAUCCAUGUAUUUCCCAGCCUUGGAGCAUAAGAUGACACAUCUUACACAAACAAUAAUAUGCAAGAGUCAUUUCAUAAAAUUCCAUAAAAAUGUGAUCCCAUUGAGCACUAUAAUUGAGAACAGAUCACUAGAUAUGUAGAAACAUAAAUUCAUAACAGUAAAAAUUCACAGACUGCCAGGGGACUAGCUUAAAACUCCAUACUAGACCUCUAAUUUGUAAUAAAUUACAGCAUUCAACAGGUUUUUCUAUUAUCAUGAGAAUUUUUUACAAAUGUAUCUAAAUUCUAUUGUCUCUUCUCCCAUCACGAUUGAUUGGGUUGUUCUAAGGUGGGCUGCAGUUGAACACUAUGCAGUCUCUGGCUGUGAUUUCUGCUCUCCACAGAGUUCUGUAUGUUGAGUGUGUUGGAGCACCCUUCUCCUUUUACUACCUUCUUCAGGUGUGCCAUAAUAAACCUCCUAAACUUCUUUGUGGCAAAAUAAUAAAUCACAGGAUCCAAAAUGCAGUUGAGGCCCAUUAGAACCAAUGUGAUCUGAUGGGCAUCAUUUAAAGUUUGAAGGGUGUUCUGGUCCCAGUCCACAUGGCCCCAUCCGUCUUUGAUCUUCAGCACCGCCAGCACCCAGGGGGCUUGGACUACAUGGUGAGGCAGGAAACACAGAACAAACACACCCACCACUGCCAGCAGCAUCUUCAAGGCUUGUUGUUUCACCCCUCUCUGUCUUCUCCCUGAGGACGACAGGGUCUUGUUGGACUUUUUAGAAAUUAAUGUUUCAGAUCGUAACUCUGUUUGAGGAGGCUUUUGAGAGAGUAAGGCUUGAACGAUGAGGAGGUUGCACACCAUGACAAGGAAAAAAACAACGAAAAACAACCCAAUGAUUAAAAAAUGAGUAACAGCAACCUUCCGCUUCUCUGUGUCCGUUUCAUUGUGGUAGCCUUCAAAGCAUCGUGUCAGGUUGUCUUUAUCAGUGUGCGUCCCCUCUGAUGUCAGGUGUGGAAUGGCCAUGGACACCGUGCACAGCCAGAUCAGAACACACACAAUGAUCCCGCGACGUCUGUGGUUCCAAGCCGUCAUAUUCAGAGGCUGAGUCACCGCACAGUAUCUGUUCAGACUGAUGGCUCCCAGAAAGAGGAUGGUGCCAUAGGUGUUGAUGAAAAAGAAUGAACCUGUCAGACCACACAGGAAGUCCUUGUAAAUCCAGUGGCCUCCAUGGCUAUAGUAACCGAUCCAGAAGGGAAGGGCGCACACAAAAAGUAGAUCCGCAAUGGUCAGGUUGGUCAUGUAGAUGCCAAUCUCUCCCAUGCCCUUUGCAUCACGCAGGCAUUGGAGGAUAAACAGCACAUACACAUUAGCCAAUAAGCCCACAACAAAGAAGAUGCUGUAAACAACAGAGAACAGCAUGUAGCGAAAGUUGGAGUCCAGGAAUUCAGAGCUGUUGGCUGUAGAGGCUGCUGUCACAUCUUGGUCUGUGGUUCCCUCCAUUUCUGUUAGAAGAACACAAAAUAAUUAGGAUUAUUUUUAUAUACAUUAAAUUUUAAUGGCUGUAGCCUAAGAAGAACUCUGAGUUUUCUUUAGGGUUUUUUAGAAAGGAGAAGUACAAACAAACUUAAAGUGUUAGUAAAGACGGAAGUUGCCUAAGUGUUUGAAAGGUAAAGCAAAGUUGCAAACGAGGAAACGACUGGUUAAAGAGCAUUUGUUGCAGCUGCCAAACUGUGGAUGUGUCAACAAAAUAUUCCUCCAUCCAUUUUUAGAACCUGCUGAAUCCAUCCAAGCUAAUGUUGGGAAAAAAGGCAGGGUGCAUGAUCAGGUCACCAGUCUGUAGCAGAGCCAUUUAGAGACAAGGAUGAACCAGAAGGAAGGAAGGAAGAGGAAGAACCAGGGCCUUCUGGCUGUGAAAUGAUGGAACUAACCACUGUACCACAGUGCAGCCCAAACUGAAAAAAGAUUCAAAAACUGCACUUUUUCUUUAACUUCAAGGAAGUUUGGCAUCAUUCAUAUUUAUAAAGUUCCAGCCUGUUUUCUACAUAAACAUGUAUAAUAAUCAAUUACUUUGAUUUAUUCUUAGUUCUUAAUUUAAUCUGCCUUUUAACCCUUUAAUUUCCCUCACUUUAGAAAUAAUAAAUUUGAGUUUAUCUUUAUCAUUGCAAUU